rnacentral:rRNA from 1 species
GACGAACGCUGGCGGCGUGCUUAACACAUGCAAGUCGAACGGAAAGGCCCUGCUUUUGUGGUGCGCUCGAGUGGCGAACGGGUGUGUAACACGUGUGUAACCUGCCCUUGUCUGUGGGAUAACUUCAGGAAACUGGGGCUAAUAUCGGAUAGGAGCUCCUGAUGCAUAGUGGUGGUUGGAAAGUUUCGGCGGGUGGGGAUGGACUCGCGGCUUACUAGCUGGUUGGUGGGGUAGUGGCUGACCAGGCUUUUGACGGGUAGCCGGCCUGGGAGGGUGACCGGCCACAUGGGGACUGGGAGACGGCCCAGCCUCCAACGGGAGGCAGCAGGGGGAAAUAUUGCCCAUUGGGGCGAAGCCUGUGGCGACAACGCCGCGUGCGGAAGAACGGCCUUCGGGUGGAAAACCGCUUUGGCCUGUAACGAGGCGUUAGUGACGGUAAUUAGUAAAGAAGCACCGGCUAACUACGUG